AACAAGGCGUACCUGCGGACCUGCGGAAGGAUCAUUACCGAGUCUUCGUACUCAAAACAACCCUUCUGUGGACCUGAAUAAAACCGUUGCCUCGGCAGGCGGCCCUACCUACGGGCCAGAUAGUUCGGCUGCCUCCAGGGAGGAAACCCUCCCUGAGGUGCUGGCGCCAGCCGCUGGCCCCAAACCAAAACUCUAGUAACUUUUACCUUCUGAGUUUUAAUGCAAGAAAUAAGUCAAAAC
rnacentral:misc_RNA from 1 species